UACGGGGGGGGGCAAGCGUUGUUCGGAAUUACUGGGCGUAAAGGGCUCGUAGGCGGCCAACUAAGUCAUACGUGAAAUCCCCCGGCUUAACCGGGGAACUGCGUCUGAUACUGGAUGGCUUGAGUUCGGGAGAGGGAUGCGGAAUUCCAGGUGUAGCGGUGAAAUGCGUAGAUAUCUGGAGGAACACCGGUGGCGAAGGCGGCAUCCUGGACCGAUACUGACGCUGAGGAGCGAAAGCCAGGGGAGCCAAAGCGGG
rnacentral:rRNA from 1 species